GAACGCUAGCUACAGGCUUAACACAUGCAAGUCGAGGGAAACGAUAGAGAAAGCUUGCUUUUUCUAGGCGUCGACCGGCGCACGGGUGAGUAACGCGUAUCCAACCUGCCCAUCACUUGGGGAUAACCUUGCGAAAGUAAGACUAAUACCCAAUGACGUCUCUAGAAGACAUCUGAAAGAGAUUUAAAGAUUUAUCGGUGAUGGAUGGGGAUGCGUCUGAUUAGCUUGUUGGCGGGUAACGGCCCACCAAGGCGACGAUCAGUAGGGGUUCUGAGAGGAAGGUCCCCCACAUUGGAACUGAGACACGGUCCAAACUCCUACGGGAGGCAGCAGUGAGGAAUAUUGGUCAAUGGACGAGAGUCUGAACCAGCCAAGUAGCGUGCAGGAUGACGGCCCUAUGGGUUGUAAACUCCUUUUAUAAGGGGAUAAAGUUGGCCAUGUAUGGCCAUUUGCAGGUACCUUAUGAAUAAGCAUCGGCUAAUUCCGUG
rnacentral:rRNA from 1 species